rnacentral:misc_RNA from 1 species
AACCUAGCACACCUGCGGUGUGUACCUGCGGAAGGAUCAUUACUGAGUGUAAAAACUCCCAAACCCACUGUGAACAUACCACUGUUGCUUCGGCGGAUGCGCCCCGGGCGCGCCCUACAAAGGCGUGCCCCGGAUCAAGGCCACCGCCGGGGGACCGAAACUCUUGUUUUCCUAAGGAUUCUCUGAGUGUGAUUAUUAAAUCAAAUCAAAACUUUUAACAAUGGAUCUCAGAUCGGAAGA